rnacentral:rRNA from 1 species
AUGUCGUUCAAGGCUCUGGAGUUAGUGUGCUGGAAUGUUCGAGGCCUAAAUAAUCCGGCCAAAAGGAAGGCGCUUAGAGGUUUCGUGGACUCUGUUCGCACGGCGAUUGUAUGUAUAUUAGAAACUAAACUAGAGGUGGUGGAUACUUAUGUUAUCUUGCAAUGCAUGGGGCCGAACUACGAUGGGUUCACAUAUUUGCCGGCGUUAGACACUAGAGGUGGUAUU